UAUUUGGCUUUUUUUAAAGCCAUCAUUAGUUUGGUUUAGUUUUAGU
rfam:Absidia repens strain NRRL 1336 BCR42scaffold_28, whole genome shotgun sequence.